GCUCAAGGAACAUGGUAGAAAAUAAAUGCAAAGCCAGUGCUAGAGGAGUAGUCAUCACUGUCUUUGCCAUUACCUGACAAGUGUUCAAGUAUUUCCCAGGUAAUUCUUAUCAUGGAAAAUCAAACUCACUGGUGAAAUGGGGAAAGGUUCACAUCUAAUCGGUCAGUUGAUAACCCCAUUGCCAAGUGUAUGUGCUGCCUCAAACAAAGAGUGCAGAUUAAGUUGUGGCCAGUUUCUGGCUUUUUCCAGUGUCACUGUUGGGAUACUUUUACCUACCAAACAUACCAAGUAUAUUCAGACCAAGGCAGAAGGCCAGCCUGUCCCCUUGCUGCCUGACCAGCUGCCUGUUCCACUGUAAGAUAUAGUUCUGAGCAGUGCAUGUAUGUUUCUGUGUUGGAGGGAAGUAUGUAGCAGAAUUAUUUAUUUACUCGAUUGUGUUUCCAGAGAUGUCUGGAAGAUAGUCCAUAUGCCUGCAAGAAGUCUCAAGAUAAGGCUAAGAUUAUAACCCUAGCAAACAUGAGUUCAUAUUUCCAUUUUGACAUAUAUUCUCUUAUAUUUCAGCAUCACAACAUUGUCCCCAGUGACCUAUAUUUUAGGUCUAAGUGGGAAGUGUGUAAACACCUUGGAGAUAUGCAACAUGAUGCCACAUUAUGGGAGAAGGGGACACAGGUGAUCUGAUCUCAGAAUAUGACUUUACAUGCCAGGACUGAAGAUGGUGAGGUGGGUCAAGUAAUGUAAUAAUGGUCAGAAACAUUCUAAUUGUAAGUAUACUGCCAAAAAAAAACCCGAUUCCCUUCUCCAAAGGGGAAACCCUAGCUUUCUUCGGGAUCCUUGUUUCACGCACUCUGCAUCUCACACUUGUGUCCAUAAAUGUUUCCUUGUGAUCAGCCACCAUUUGCAGAUCUGUGUCCCUGACUGCCAGUCAUUCCUGCAUUUCUUGCGGAGAUCACACCAAGGACAGGCACAUGCAGUAAGUGUAGUUGGAAAAGUGCACUUUCCCUCAGCCAGCUACUAUUUCACAUGUAUUAGCCACCGGAGCCUGUGGUUUGGCAUCAGCAGCCACAGCACAAACUUCCUCCUAUACACAGCAUUAGCAGUUGUCUAAUCAACAUGAAAAUGGUUACCUAAGCCUGGCACAGGGCCAGUUCAUGCACUGGGCCCCUCUCUGGUUUACUAUACAUUAUUGGUCAGAGCAAGCUCUUCAGAGGGCUCCAUGCAGGCCUCAUUCCCUAUGCAAUAACUCUGUAGCUGCUCAUCACCUCUACUCUAGAUCUUGAUGCAAUUUCACAACCCUGUGGCACCAGAGACCUCAACUGGCAAGGGCUGAGGCAAACAACAGCUGUCUCCAUUCAGCUAUGUCAGCAGCAACAUUUCUUUGCCAGGACCUAUCACCGUCAAGUAAGGGUUAAAAAAGACCUCUACUGAAAUGCCCUUCAUGGCUCGAGCCUUCUGCGUGCAUCCUUCUGAAAUAACAUCACAGUCCAAAACAGGAACAGCUCAUUCACUGGUGCAGGAUCCUUGGGCAGCAGCUGGAGAGGACACGAGAGAAAAAGCUGAAUCAGAAGCAUUUUAUUUUUGGUAGUUUAAUAAUGGACUAGGAAUGUCUGUGAGCUAGAGUUGAGGACAGACAAACAUGUCUUUCCACAGCACACAGUGAAACAGUUCCUUAGGUACUUCAUACUGAUGAUGCUUUGAAGUCCUAGCCACUUUCCCAAAACUCUUCAUGUGGACUUGCAUCUAGAACUGUGAAUCAAAUGUGUACUUUUGGGCAAGUUUGGUUUGUCUGGGUAUCCACACCCACAUUAUGUAAGCCAGGGUAAAUCCUACAGUGAGAAAUGGGCAGAAGUAUAACUUGGCAGAGCUGCAAAUGUGUGGCAGAACUGAAAGCAAAGCAGCAGGUUUCCCGAGUCCCAGAGCUGCUUUGCAGUCAGAAAAGGGCAAAGUAAUAACACCACUAGCUUGAUUUCAGUUUCCCCGUUAGCCCGCUGCUUUUGCCUUGGAGGUAUACAAAGUGCCUGUAUGGAUGUACACGUUCCUGUAGUUUUGUAGGUAUGGGUUUUUUCUUUAAAAGAUGGCAUGCCCAAGCAAGGCCUUUGGUUUACAAUGUCCUUCAUCUGGCCAGAAGGAGUUGCUGCAGCUUCCACAGGCCAUGCCAGGGCAGAGUAAACUUUAUGUCCCAUUGGCAUAAGGAAGAUGGGCUGAAAGCUACUCUAGGAUAGUCUGAAAGCAUGGCAAUGCUUCUGAAAAUGCUAUUUUGUUAAGGUCCUGAGUCUUGUUGCUGGACAACAUAGACACUUAUGAGGCAAGCCAGCGUGUCCUUCAGAAGACUUAAUCUGUACCAUGAACAGAGCAACUCUUAUACAUGUACCACUGCGAGUAUAACCUUGUAAAAAGGAGCAUGGAAAAAUGUCAAGAGUGUGUUUAGAUAAGUAGUUUCAACUAGAAAAAGUAAGUUUGCUCAGCGCGGUUUAUUUACGAUCUGAACAUUUGAGAGCAUUACAAGCGUCUACUUGAUCAACAAAAGAAGAAACCACUCUGUAUUUGCACGGUCUUGUACUAACCUCCCCUUUCCCAGUAAUUCUCAAACCAAUGGCUAUUUUCAUCCAGAGACCUAGUAGAGAUGGAGCAGUACAAUCUCCAUCAGCUGGAGGCCUGGCAGAGGAGAAGGGCUUUGCUGUGAAGUCUGGCCUCAUUUUCACUCCUGGGUCUCUCAACUCUAACCAAUUUUCAUGUUCUCACUUCUUGGCCACUCCGCAGCUGUGUCAGACCAGCAGGCCCCAGCAGGGAGGCCUUGGAAGGGAGUCCAAGCUACACUGGAAGGAGGGGGGACAGCAGGCAUUGAAGGAAGAAGGGUUUGAAGAUAUAAAGGCAAUAGGGGACAUGGAGAGAGGGUACAGGGAGACUAUUAUAGUAAGGGAAUGCAGAGAGGAGAGCGGAGGCUGUUACAGGUUUUGCUGGUUUUGCUGCCUGCUACAUCCUUAUUUGACAUGUGAAAGGAAUGCGAAGGUGCAAGACAACAGGAAUUAAUAAAUAAUCAGUGCUUUUCAAUUCCAAGGGUUUUAUAAACGUUAAUGAACCUUCAUGAGCUGUUAGAGAGGUAUUUAAGCCGUAUUCCAUUUUCACAGAUAAGGAGAUGAAAGCUCUGGCUCAAGUCCAAAGUUUUCAAAAGCAGAAACUACUUUUAAGAGCUCCCCUUGACAUUCAGCACCAGAACUCCAAAAGGAUUGAUUUCACAGUUGCCAUCACUGUCAGCUGUAUCCUGAUUACUUCUGCAAAGCUAAGUCUAAACAUGCACACUCAAAAGGAGCAUUAGCUUCUGGAAAUUCAGGCUCUGUUGCCUUGUUGUUUUCCCAAAGUAUAUAAGAGAAACUAGUUUAUGAGAGAAAUAGAUAUGUAAAAACAUUUACAUUUUUUACUACUGGACCAUGACAAGAAUGGAAACAAAGACUUUGCGGGCUUAAAACACUUACAGAAAGGGCAAAGUAAAACAAAGAUUUUAAAAAAAGACUUCCAAGUACACCCAUUCAUCUGUGCAAAUGGGAAGGGAAGCAGAGCAUGUUUUUAAAUCUUUCUACAUCUCCCAUAAAGACUAGGCAGAUGGUUUAGGUGCAUUUCUGUAAGUGUCUGAUGAAUAUUUUAUUCCUGAAAGGAAUACAAAACAUGAAUGUGUAUGUAGUCACCAGCUUCACUGAAGUGAGGGAGAAACAACAUAGGACUUCAUUAGAAACCAUGUGAAUUGGUAGUCCAGAAAAGAAAAAAAAAUUUUUUUAUGGUAGUAUAAUAAAAAAAAAAAGGGAAGAGACAGUUAUAGAUAUUUUCUUUGGAAUUAUGCCUUCUAAUUUUAAUUGUUCUGUGGCCAUGAAAAGAUGGACAUCUUGUUUGCCUAGCUGCAGAAACAUAGGUGCAGAAAAAGCCUUCAAAUUCUGUUGAAAUGGCAGGUGUCACAUUUAAAUUAGCCAGCAGCCAAAACAGGAGAUCACAGAGCUUAUGAGGAUCAUAGGAGAGAAUAUAGCAGUCAGCUAGAAGCAGAAAUGUAGUGCUGAUCAGAGGGAGCAGGUUCAAACCCAGUCCUAGGCAUCUGCAGCACAACUCCUACCCAGCAAUAUCAGCAAUGUGUCAAGCACAGUCUCAGCAUAACCAUAAGUGUCAUAUCAGAUCAGUGGGAAGAUGUAAGAAUCACAACAGAAAUGCUCCUUUGGGGAUCCCCAGUGCAUAAAAAAGAGUAAAAAGUUGCCAGAAAAAAGUAUCUUAAAAGAGUCCCUCAAAGGCACUUACACAUUUUAAAACUUGUCUCAAAGCGCUGACAAUUCUGUGACAACCAGGCUUGUGCUGUGACACAGUUUUGCCACUCUUACAGCUGCAGCUCCCCACAGGCAGUUUGAAAUCCUCAGGAGGUAAGCAGGAGUGGUGGUUCCUCCUUACACAUUCUGAUGCACCCUGGCACCACUGGCGGCACCACCGGCAGCACCGGCAGUCCCAGCGUGGUCACUCUGGUGCCACUUGGGUGAUAACAUGGCGCUGAGCCCUGUGGUGGGAGAUGCUGACUCUCUGCAGCUGCCAAACAGGUGGGCAGGAUUCACAAAAAUGGGAGAGAAUAGAGUUUUAUGUGGCUUCAAGCUGGUGGUAGGAUCCCUGAGCGCACAGAGUUAUGACAAAUCCCAUGGAACAGGAGUACAGCAUCAGACCCUGUGGUACACAGGCAGGAUGCAGACCAUAACAACUUAAAGGGAACAUAACAUACUUUCACGUGUUUCUGUUCUGCAACUCUCAUGUGUCCUGAGUCAUCUCUUACUGAGCAAAAGGCAUGGUUAAUUCACAGUUUUAAAAGGUCUUACUGUCUACAUGAGAUGAUAUUCCAGGGAAUGGUUGCUCAAAGGAAAAACAGGGUAAGCACCUAAAAAAAUUUUUAAAACAACAAGAACCUCUGGCUCCAAGUGCAGCAAAGCAAAAUGGAAAUUCUUCCUGCUUCCUAGGACAUAUUUUUAGCUAAGGCAGAUGGUAGAAAUACCACUGCUCAUCUUUAUACAGAAACAAGAUGGGCCGCUAUAAACAAUACUGGCAUACAUUUGGAGGUGGUUUGGGUUUGGUUUGGUUUUUUUUUCCCCAAAUCACCUAAGUAUUGCUGAACUCAUGAAGGUUUUUUGAUCUUGGAAGAUGAAUUAGGAUGGGGAUUUUGGAUCAGGAAACAGCCCUGGAGGAAGCUGCUGCUAACAGCAGCUAACAGUGGCCACUCCACUUCAGGCUUCCUUUGAGACUGCCUAGGACAAGUCAAUGCCAGCAGCUGUAUUUUCAGUAGCGUGUAGUGCAGCAAUACCUUUUUCCUAUCAAGGUCAUUUGCUUUUCCUGCUGAAACACCACUGCUCUACAGAAAAUUACAAUUAGAAAAUGGGCAGGUCACAACCUCUGUUUAGGAAGUUUUGUCUUUUCUGCUCUGGGCUUUUCACCUUGUCACAGGUUAUGGGGCUUUUGCACCUUUACUUCUGACUCUGCCCCUUUUGUUCUUGGCCCCACUAAUUUGCUCUGUUGUUCAAGAUCUUGUAUCACCGAGAUACAAAAAUUCAUUACAUUCCAAAAGGUAUAAAAAUCACUGUCUGUUUGAUUCAUUCUCCUUUAAGAGUGCCAAUGCAUUUUGGGAUGCCAACUCUUCCAUUCCCACUACAAUAUAGCAACUAUGCCAAGCCAAAAAUAAAUGAUAUUUUUGGAAUGCAGUUUCUUAUAGAAGGUGGGGCAUUCCUCUUCUUUUGUAUCAGAAUGAUUUUAGUGUCUUAUCUCAAUGUCAGACUGGGUAAUGUAUAAAAAUCCCAAGAAGUUGUGGUCUACCCAUAGUUAUGUCUUUGAGAAUGAAAAUACAUCUUAGGUGAGGGGUCAGAUCCCUAGAGGAUGGACAGGGAGGGUAUCCUGGGUGUUGACAUGAGUAAUAUCUUCCUUCCAUCCUAACAGAAGCAAUCAACAGCAUCUUCUCUCAGCUUCCCAGGGUCAGUACUAAUGGGAUUGAGCAAGCUGCUGUGAACAGGAGUCUUCUGCACCUACUGAAGAUGGAGAGGAAAGCCGGUGUAAUUCAGCUCUGGCAAAGUGCAGAAGCAUCAUUAAGCACUGGUGGGGAGGGUGUCAAGUGAACAGGGCAAGUUGUGGUCACACUCCUCUGCUUUUCUUUGCAGAAACAGUGGCCAUGAAGGCCCUGUCUGGGUUCCCUCUCUAUCACCUGUGUGCUCUGCAGGGAUCUGCUGUAUGUGAGUUAAGAGCUAAGGGACUGGGGUUUUUCCUCCAGCAUUUUGGAGAACUGGAAGUUUAGUGAGACAAGAAAAAAGCUGGAGUUUACUGCCUUAAACCACUGUAUGCAUUAUUUUAAUCACAUGUCCCAAGAGAGGCUGUUUUCUUAGGAAAUGUUUGUUAAACACCUUGAAAUGUGAUAACCUUUCCAGUGUCACAGUAACUGUGUGGUUCCCAGAAGAGGUUUUACAGACCUAAAUUGCAGAAGUGGGUUUUGCAACUGGAAGCGAGGGAGUGAUGCAGCAAGUAAAAUAAGAAGUAGAAUCAGCAGUACAAUCAUUUUGGAUAUUGCUUUUCUAAAUACUUCAUCAAAAGACCUGGUACUUUAAAUAUAAAAAUGCACACUACAAUGUUGUUGACAGGGAAAAAGCCAUGAAAUGUUAUUGCAUAAAACUGUGAGUCAGGACCUCUAAUGUGUUUUUACGGUGUUGCCUAUACCUUAAUUACACUUGCUCCUGACAGUGUAUUAUAUCUUCUUACAUCUUCAUUAUUGCACAGGCAUUAAUUUAAUCAGAGAUAAUGAAUGAAACCUCUGGAAUUAAUUACAGGUCGUAACAGUUUUGUUACUUUACUAGAACAGGCAGGAAGACAAAAACAUAUGGACCCAUAAACAUUAACUGGCUUUUGCAAUCCAGCCAUUACAGGAGAAAGACAAUGAAGAUUAAAUUACUUGGAGAUGUAGCUGAGAAUGCUCAGGCAGUUUUUGGUGUUUCUGAAACUCAGCAGUUCUCGGUGGGAUGACCUUGACUACUACAUUUCUGGGAUCCUUUCAAGCUCAAAUGUAUCUUGCGUUUGAAUCUAUUUCACAGAUCUAAGUUUAAGAACUGCUUUUGCAGAUUCCUGGGAUCUGAUCUGUCUGGAAGGAGGGGUCUUUGCAGUGUUGUUUCAAUGGAGGCAUGUUGCCAGCAGUUGGGAUCUGCGUGUGAAUUCCUGUGAUUUCCCUUUGGCCCGUCUUGUUUCUGCCAAAUUUGAAGUGGACUUUCUGUGAGUGAGAAGGAAACAUGGCCCCUUUCCAACAGCACAAUGUCUGUGAGGGUGUCUGACAGGAAAAAACCUUGCAGAGGAGCCUUUCAAAGCAUCUUAAAAAAUCCCCUCUUGUAGGGGAUUUCUUAUAGUGAAAAAAAGUCAUUACCUGGUCAUAGGAAGCAGAGGGUAUCUUGCUUGGUUGCCUUAUCUUUGUGAUCGCAGAGUUACAUUAGAAAGUAAUUCCAUCUUAAAUGAAAUUAUUUAUCUUAUACUAUUUUCAAAAUGUCUCUAGUCCCUUGGUGCACUAUUCAUGGUAAAAACUUCUCUGAACAAUUUGAUUUGCUUAGUAGGCUUAGUAUUUAAUGUAAAGUUUCCUCUUUUUUUUAAAUAUCUUAUUGCAUUUAGUGAAUUACUUUUUUUUAAUGCAAUAAAUACAUUAUGUUUUGUUUAACACACUGAUCCUUGCAGGCAGCUAUUUUGUGUUCUACUUCAGUUAUCACUUUUCAGACGAGCUACACGUAUAUCAGAUCCAUUCAAUGUGAGCUCACAAAUCAACUUAAAACCCUUAAUAAUUUCUGUUGAUCUUUUCUUAAACUGUCUCCGCUAGAUCUACAUUGCUCAAAUACUGAAGUACUCUGAAAUUAAUAUGAUAUAUCAAGAAUGAUAUGAUAUAUCCCCUCAGUCUUCUGUAGAGGACUGUUAUCUACCUCGUCUGUGUUGGGGAUUGUCUCCACAAUGCAAGAAAUAUAAUUCUACAUUACAUGGAAAGCCUGGCAGUCUUAGCAGUGGGGGAUUUUGGAUCUUGAGAGUUCUUUCAAGGGUGACCCAGUGCUUGGAGCAGUGUCCUGAGGGCUUAAGGCUGCUGCUGGGUGCUGACAAUGUGUGUCACUAUAUCUGCUCCUUAGUUCAGUGUAGGUAGGAGAUAAGGUCUUUUCAAAAUCAAGCCACAUAUCAAUAUGGUGAAUCUGAAGAUCUGUGGCUUCAUCUCCUCAGAAAAGUCCCUUCCCUGCUCUCAGAGUGCUCAAUGGUUUCCUGCCAGGGGGCUGUGGACCUCUGCAUUGCUGGAUGGCUUUAGGGUGACAUGUCAGACUUGAAGGGGACAUGCCACUAAGAAAAGUAAAUGUAUCGAUGCCUGUUGGCAACUGGUCUACAGGAGGCUGAAGCCAUAGUGGAAAAAUUUGGGGCUGCAGAAAAUAAAGGGUUGAAAACA